rnacentral:rRNA from 1 species
CUCGUAGGCGGUUCGUCGCGUCCGGUGUGAAAGUCCAUCGCUUAACGUUGGAUCCGCGCCGGGUACGGGCGGGCUUGAGUGCGGUAGGGGAGACUGGAAUUCCCGGUGUAACGGUGGAAUGUGUAGAUAUCGGGAAGAACACCAAUGGCGAAGGCAGGUCUCUGGGCCGUCACUGACGCUGAGGAGCGAAAGCGUGGGGAGCGAACA